CCUACGGGAGGCAGCAGUGGGGAAUAUUGCACAAUGGGCGCAAGCCUGCUGCAGCCAUGCCGCGUGUGUGAAGAAGGCCUUCGGGUUGUAAAGCACUUUCAGCGGGGAGGAAGGCGGUGAGGUUAAUAACCUCAUCGAUUGACGUUACCUGCAGAAGAAGCACCGGCUAACUCCGUGCCAGCAGCCGCGGUAAUACGGAGGGUGCAAGCGUUAAUCGGAAUUACUGGGCGUAAAGCGCACGCAGGCGGUCUGUCAAGUCGGAUGUGAAAUCCCCGGGCUCAACCUGGGAACUGCAUUCGAAACUGGCAGGCUAGAGUCGUGUAGAGGGGGGUAGAAUUCCAGGUGUAGCGGUGAAAUGCGUAGAGAUCUGGAGGAAUACCGGUGGCGAAGGCGGCCCCCUGGACAAAGACUGACGCUCAGGUGCGAAAGCGUGGGGAGCAAACAGGAUUAGAUACCCGGGUAGUC
rnacentral:rRNA from 1 species